GGUCCCGCCUGCCCAGUGACUCUUUAAACGGCCGCGGUAUCCUAACCGUGCAAAGGUAGCAUAAUCACUUGUCCCUUAAAUCGGGACUGGAAUGAACGGCUAAAUGAGGACUAAACUGUCUCUUACAGGCUAGCCAAUGAAAUUGAUUUUCCAGUACAAAAGCUGGAAUAUAACCACAAGACGAGAAGACCCUGUGGAGCUUACAAACCAAAUUCACCAAACAUGUUUUAUAGGUUUUCAGUUGGGGCGACUUCGGAGUACAAAAUAACCUCCAAACAUAAAACUAAUUAAGAACAACACAUCAAAAUAUAGCUUAUUGACCCAGCAACCCUCAUGGUUGUCUGAUUAAUGAACCAAGUUACCCCAGGGAUAACAGCGCCAUCCCCUUCUAGAGUCCCUAUCGACAAGGGGGUUUACGACCUCGAUGUUGGAUCAGGACACCCCAAUGGUGCAGCCGCCAUUAACG
rnacentral:rRNA from 1 species